AUGACAAUAACACUAAAAAUAAUAGUGGUAAAAGUUGCACUUGUUUGAGUAUUAAAAAUGUGAAAGAAAAACCAUCAACUGUAGAUAAAACUAAAUUCAAGUUUGAAAAAAAUAACCAUUGUGUAUUACAUGUUUCAGAUAAAAAAAAAACGAAUAAAUCAUUUUUAAAUAAUUUUGACACCACUAGUUAUAAUUAUUGCACCCAUCAUAGAAGUUAUACAUCUCCUUGUGCUCAUUCUAAUAGUAAUGAUAAUAAAACGGACAAUAUUUUAUUAAAUAAUGACUUUAUUAAUAAAAAUAAGGAGAUAAGUAAUAAAGAGAUAAGUAAUAAAGAGAUAAUUAAUAAAGAGAUAAUUAAUAAAGAGAUAAGUAAUAAAGAGAUAAGUAAUAAAGAGAUAAGUAAUAAAAAUGAUUUAAUAUUGCUUAAUAAGGACUUAACAAAGCAUAGUAGUACAUGUAAUUGUUUGGAUGAACUUAAAAAUGGUUAUGCACAUAUUUCAAAAAAUUAUGACAUUUUAAAAAAGAAUUUAAAGGGCUUAGAUAAAACAAAGUUGAACAUUGAUGAUAGUAUGAUUCGUUUAUAUCAUAAAACAUGUAUAAGACGUAACGCACAAGUUGAUUAUACACAACCUAAUUAUACAUCGGUAUGUAAAACGUCAAUUGAUACUUCAGAACUUACUAAAAUUCACUAUAUGGACAAUAUGGAACAUAACCGUUUAAAUAGUUUUAUUUGUAAAAAUGAUUUUUUAAAAAACGAAACUAGUCACAAUAUUUUAAAAAAUAAUAAUAAGCUAUUUUAUCCAGUUGAACAUUAUGAACAAGUACAUAAUAAAAUGAAUAACGAUGAAAAUAUUAAUCCUUAUCUCCUUAACAAUAAUAAUAAUAAUAAUAUUAGUAAAUAUAAUAACACAAAAAAUGAACCACAGUGUAAAACUAAUUUUUUUAUAAAUAAAAACUUAUCUCGUGAUAAUAACAACGUUUUUAACAAUGAUGAUAACAAAUAUGAUAAAAGUGCAAACAAUGAUAUAACUUACAGUAUAGCAAAUGAAGAAAUAAGAAACAUUUUAUACGGUUGCUAUAAUUAUUUAAAACUGAAAGAUUUUGUCAUCCCUUAUGACAUUUAUAGUAAUGCAGAUACAUCCAUAACAAAUAAAAAUAUUAACAGUAAUAAUUAUUAUAAUACAAGGUGUUCACAAUGUACUACUGAAUCUAAAGAGUAUAUAAACAUUUCCUAUAAUUUUAUUAGUGAACACAAAUAUACAGAUAAUCUUGAUAUAACCUAUAAUCAUUUUUGCAAUUAUCACAAAGAAAAGUUUUUUAAAAAGAAUAGUUUAGUUUUUAACAGUAAUAGUAAUAUGAAUAAUGGUCAUUAUGUUGACAGUUCUAAUAAUACACAAACUGAUAGUUAUAUUUUUGGUAGUGUUAACAAUUAUAACAACGAUAGUGUAAACAUUUGUUGUAAUAACAGCGAUAUCGAAAAUAAUAAUAUUAAAUUUAUUGGAAAAAAUGUCAACUAUUUUUAUAUUUUUAAAAAUAUGAUAGAAAACUUAGAUAGAAAAGAACUUCAAAAACUAAUGCUUUGUCAAUGUUGUUAUGUGCUAAAGAAAAUAAAAAAUAAAAUAACCCCUCUUAAUGUUAUUUUAGAUACUCAGGUUUUAUUUCAUGAUUGUAAUAAUUAUUUUAAAAGCAAAGGUUGGUUGGAUGAUGAUAAUAACAAUAAUAAUAUUAGUAAUAAUAACAAUAAUAAUAUUAGUAAUAAUAACAAUAAUAAUAUUAGUAAUAAUAACAGUAAUAAUAUUAGUAAUAAUAACAAUAAUAAUAUUAGUAAUAAUAACAAUAAUAAUAUUAAUAAUAAUAACAAUAAUAAUGUUAGUAAUAAUAACAAUAAUAAUGUUAGUAAUAAUAAUCGUUUUAGUUAUGAUUGUAAUAUAUCACAAACAAAUAAAAAUAUGAUGAAAACAAUUUUUCAAGAACGUCAAGAUUUAAUUAAUAACGAUUACUUAUAUAAACAGACAAAUGACAUUUUUGUUAAUCCUAAGUUAGUUCAUUUUUACAAUGAAAAAGUCGAUUCUUUUUACAGCAAUAUUAAUAUGGACAAUAGCGGUAACCAUGACAAUAACGGUA
ensembl:lncRNA